CCCUUAGAUGCUCUGGGCCGCACGCGCGCUACACUGGUCGAUGCAACGAGUUUCUUUCCUUGGCCGACAGGCCUGGGCAAUCUUUGAACAUCGAUCGUGAUCGGGAUAGAUUCUUGUAAUUUUUGAUCUUAAACGAGGAAUUCCUAGUAAACGCAAGUCAUCAGCUUGCAUUGAUUACGUCCCUGCCCUUUGUACACACCGCCCGUCGCACCUACCGAUUGAAUGGUCCGGUGAAAUCUCCGGACUGGCGUGAGUCGGAGCAAUCUGACAAACACCGGAAAGUUGAUUAAACCUUACCAUUUAGAGGAAGGUGAAGUCGUAUCA
rnacentral:rRNA from 1 species